rnacentral:lncRNA from 1 species
GAGGAGGAUACCUUGAAGGAUGUAGACUUCGAGUUCUUUGGUGAUAGAGGCACACAGGGUGCAGGGAUGAUGCACAGGACAUGGUGCACAGGAGAUCCACUAUGGCGGCAGUGGAUGCAGAUGCAUCAGAUGCAUGAGCAUGGAGUACUGGUGGACAACAGGACACUGGAGGGUGCCAGGAGACAAAGAAGGCAGAAGGAUCAUGCAAGUAGAUUGUGCAGGGUUUGCCAAGACUUGGGGCACCAAGAUGGAGAUUGUUGUGAAUGUGUGGUGCUCUCAAAUCUUGAAAGGUCAUGAGAGGAGUCAGGCGACGGCUCUAAGAGGC